ensembl:lncRNA
UGCGAGGGGCGGAGCUUCCAGGAGUCAACCCUGCCUUCUCUUGGGCUUGGGGGCGGGCCCUAUUCUGAUUGGAUAUAUGAGACUGUCCAUCCUGGACUCAUCGGUCGACGGAACUGACGCUCUAGGGCGGAGGUUUGGUGCCUCCUAGAGAGAGGCCGAAGGAGCUAAGGGUCAGGAGACCGAUUCCGGAAAACUUAAUUGCUGUGCUGGCGCAGCUCUUCCUCCCUUUCUUGCUCUAGAGUAGGUCCCGGGGCUGGUCGGCCUGGGUAUUUAGAGAGAAACUUGGGUAGGGUGUUGCAGUGGUGGCCAUAUUUUAACCUGGCAAAAAGGGCGCAUGAAAGUGGCGUAGUUGCUGUCCUCAGCCCAGGUUUCCACCAGGGGAAGGCCCAGGCGGUUACCCUGAACCAGGGGAAGGCCCAGGCGGUUACCCUGAUAACGGGGUACAGAGGCAUCCUGGGAAGGACGGAGGCUAGGGCUAGAAGUACUUCGUUCUAACUUCAGGACACCAUAUGUCAGUAACUUUGGAGUUGGAUCUACGAAAGGCUCUAAAUCCCUCGAUGGUGACAUCAUUUCCUCGUGAUUAGCAGAAAACCUUAUGUGAAUCGACAGCCAGCACUUUCCAAAAUCACAGUGCUGAUCAUGCUCCUAGCCCACUGGAGAACGUACAAUGGCUUGUCUUCAUCUACAUCUACAAAAUAAGGUCCAGCCUGUUCAUUGCAGCAAACUAGACCCUUCACAAUUUGACCAGCCUCACCUUUACACCUUAUGUCUUACAGCCCCCGUUUGUCUGCUGUUCUGUACUCCUAUGUUCAGUUCCACCAUUCAGCCCCCUUUCUUUGGAAUGGGGAAUCUUGAUUUUACCACUUUCUAACUCUAUGAUCUCAGGCAAGUCAUUUAAUUUCUGAGUCUCAGUUUCCUCUGCUGUCAGAAACGAGUAUAU